rnacentral:pre_miRNA from 1 species
UGAAAGACUUGCGUAGUGAGACGCUCUAAAUGUGCAUAGCGUCUUCUAUCAAGACUUUCGUA